rnacentral:rRNA from 1 species
CCUACGGGAGGCAGCAGUGGGGAAUAUUGCACAAUGGGGGAAACCCUGAUGCAGCAACGCCGCGUGAAGGAAGACGGUUUUCGGAUUGUAAACUUCUGUUCUUAGUGAAGAAUAAUGACGGUAGCUAAGGAGCAAGCCACGGCUAACUACGUGCCAGCAGCCGCGGUAAUACGUAGGUGGCAAGCGUUGUCCGGAAUUACUGGGUGUAAAGGGAGCGCAGGCGGGAAGCCAAGUCAGCUGUGAAAACUACGGGCUUAACUUGUAGACUGCAGUUGAAACUGGUUUUCGUGAGGGAAGUAGAGGUUGGCGGAAUUCCGAGUGUAGCGGUGAAAUGCGUAGAUAUUCGGAGGAACACCGGUGGCGAAGGCGGCCAACUGGGCUUUAACUGACGCUGAGGCUCGAAAGUGUGGGGAGCAAACAGGAUUAGAUACCCGUGUAGUC